rnacentral:rRNA from 1 species
GACGAACGCUGGCGGCGUGCUUAACACAUGCAAGUCGAACGAAGUGGCGUACGGGUGAGUAACGCGUAAUCAACCUGCCCUUCAGCGGGGGACAACAGUUGGAAACGACUGCUAAUACCGCAUACUGUAGGAGGGGAUUGCGUCUGAUUGGCUAGUUGGAGGGGUAACGCCCCACCAAGGCGAUGAUCAGGUGCCGAUCUGGAAGGAUGAUAGGCCACAUUGGGACUGAGACACGGCCCAGACUCCUACGGGAGGCAGCAGGGGGGAAUCGUCCGCAAUGGACGAAAGUCUGACGGAGCAACGCCGCGUGAGUGAUGACGGCCUUCGGGUUGUAAAGCUAUGUUAAUCGGGACGCGGUACCGGAAUAGAAAGCCACGGCUAACUACGUGCCAGCAGCCGCGGUAAUC